rnacentral:tRNA from 1 species
GGUUCGGUAGCUCAGCAGGGAGAGCGGCGGGCUCAUAACCCGCAGGUCCCAGGAUCGAAACCUGGCCGAACCACCA